rnacentral:misc_RNA from 1 species
AGCAGCCGCGGUAAUUCCAGCUCCAAUAGCGUAUAUUAAAGUUGUUGCAGUUAAAAGCUCGUAGUUGAAUUUCGGGAUUGGCGCAUCGGUCGUGCCUCACGGGGUAUGAACUGGUGCAGUCAAUUUCUCACCUUCUGGAGAACCGCGAUGUCCUUAAUUGGAUGCCGCGGGGAACCAGGACCUUUACUUUGAAAAAUUAGAGUGUUUAAAGCAGGCAUUUUUGCUUGAAUACAUUAGCAUGGAAUAAUAAAAUAGGACGGCAUGGUUCUAUUUUGUUGGUUUCUAGGACCACCGUAAUGAUUAAUAGGGAUAGUUGGGGGCAUUAGUAUUCAAUUGUCAGAGGUGAAAUUCUUGGAUUUAUUGAAGACUAACUACUGCGAAAGCAUUUGCCAAGGAUGUUUUCAUUAAUCAAGAACGAAAGUUAGGGGAUCGAAGACGAUCAGAUACCGUCGUAGUCUUAACCAUAAACUAUGCCGACUAGGAAUCAGACGAUGUUAAUUUUUAAUGUACUCGUUUGGCU